GCCGGACCAGGUGAAAGCCCGGGUGGCUCUUCCGGCCGCCGAUCCGCCGGAUAACG
rnacentral:ncRNA from 21 species